rnacentral:rRNA from 2 species
AAUUUUUUAUGGAGAGUUUGAUCCUGGCUCAGGAUGAACGCUGGCGGCGUGCCUAAUACAUGCAAGUC